rnacentral:rRNA from 1 species
CAGCAGCCGCGGUAAUACAGAGGGUGCAAGCGUUAAUCGGAAUUACUGGGCGUAAAGCGCGCGUAGGUGGUUUGUUAAGUUGGAUGUGAAAUCCCCGGGCUCAACCUGGGAACUGCAUCCAAAACUGGCAGGCUAGAGUAGGGCAGAGGGUGGUGGAAUUUCCUGUGUAGCGGUGAAAUGCGUAGAUAUAGGAAGGAACACCAGUGGCGAAGGCGACCACCUGGCCUAAUACUGACGCUGAGGUACGAAAGCAUGGGGAGCAAACAGGAUUAGAUACCCCUGUAGUCCCUGUCUCUUAUAC